AUUGAACGCUGGCGGAAUGCUUUACACAUGCAAGUCGAACGGCAGCACGGACUUCGGUCUGGUGGCGAGUGGCGAACGGGUGAGUAAUGUAUCGGAACGUGCCCAGUCGUGGGGGAUAACGUAGUGAAAAUUACGCUAAUACCGCAUACGAUCUAUGGAUGAAAGCGGGGGAUCGCAAGACCUCGCGCGAUUGGAGCGGCCGAUAUCAGAUUAGGUAGCUGGUGGGGUAAAGGCCCACCAAGCCAACGAUCUGUAGCUGGUCUGUGUGGACGAACAGCCACAGUGGAACUGAGACACGGUCCAGACUCCUACGGGAGGCAGCAGUGGGGAAUUUUGGACAAUGGGCGAAAGCCUGAUCCAGCCAUUCCGCGUGCAGGAUGAAGGCCCUCGGGUUGUAAACUGCUUUUGUACAGAACGAAAAGGUUUCUACUAAUACUAGGAGCUCAUGACGGUACUGUAAGAAUAAGCACCGGCUAACUACGUGCCAGCCGCCGCCGUAA
rnacentral:rRNA from 1 species